UACGUAGGGGGCAAGCGUUGUCCGGAAUUAUUGGGCGUAAAGAGCUCGUAGGCGGCUCAGCAAGUCGGCUGUGAAAUCCCGAGGCUUAACCUCGGAACUGCAGUCGAUACUGCUGUGGCUAGAGUCUGGUAGAGGAGAAUGGAAUUCCCGGUGUAGCGGUGAAAUGCGCAGAUAUCGGGAGGAACACCAGUAGCGAAGGCGGUUCUCUGGGCCAGUACUGACGCUGAGGAGCGAAAGCGUGGGGAGCAAACAGG
rnacentral:rRNA from 1 species